AGAGUUUGAUCAUGGCUCAGAGCGAACGUUCGCGGCGGGCUUAACACAUGCAAGUCGAACGCGAAAAGGCUUCGGCCUCAGUAGCGUGGCGUCCGGGUGAGUACCACGUAGGAAACCUACCCUUGAGUGGGGGAUAACGUUCCGAAAGGAACGCUAAUACCGCGUAAGACCCCGGCGGCUCUGGCCGCUGAGGUCAAAGGUGGCCUCUGUACACAAGCUAUCGCUUGAGGAUGGUCCUGCGGCGCAUCAGCUAGUUGGUAGGGUAAUGGCCUACCAAGGCAAAGACGCGUAGCUGGUCUGAGAGGAUGAUCAGCCACACUGGCACUGAAACACGGGCCAGACUCCUACGGGAGGCAGCAGUGGGGAAUCUUGGUCAAUGGGCGCAAGCCUGAACCAGCCACGCCGCGUGAGUGAUGAAGGCCUUCGGGUUGUAAAGCUCUGUGGGGAGCAAAGAAAACGGCUGGAAAGAAACGUCCAGUCCUUGACGGUACCUCCUUAGCAAGCACCGGCUAACUCUGUGCCAGCCGCCGCGGUAAUUC
rnacentral:rRNA from 1 species